GACGAACGCUGGCGGCGUGCCUAAUACAUGCAAGUAGAACGCUGAAGCGAGGAGCUUGCUCUUCUUGGGUGAGUUGCGCACGGGUGAGUCACGCGUAGGUAACCUGCCUGGUAGCGGGGGAUAACUAUUGGAAACGAUAGCUAAUACCGCAUAAGAUUGAUUAUUGUAUUAUAGUUAAUUGAAAGAUGCCACUGCAUCACUACCAGAUGGACCUUCGUUGUAUUAGCUAGUUGGUGAGGUAACGGCUCACCAAGGCGAGGUUACAUAGACGACCGGAGAGGGUGGGCGGCCACACUGGGACGGAGACACGGCCCAGUGGGCUAGGGGAGGGAGCAGGAGUGAAACGUCGGGAAGAGGGGGAGAACUGACCGAGAAAGGCCGAGGGAGUGUAGAAGGUUGUCGGAUCGGAAAGGUCGGUUGUAAGGUAAGAACGGGUGUGAGAGUGGAAAGUUCACAGUGUGACGGUAACUGAUCAGAAAGCAACGGCUAACUACGUG
rnacentral:rRNA from 1 species